AACUGUGGAAUUGCUGAAUCCAGAGCAUCACUGGGUUCAGGGAUUUUUGACACAUUGUGUGAGAAUGCUCCUCCAGAAGACCUACAGAAAUUUCCAUGCCAACGGGGCUCUGUGAAUCCUGCCAAUUCCCUCCUCCUUCCUCAGCUGGCAGCCACGCACUAUGACACCACGGUACAGCCAGAGACCUGGACUGGCCACCUGGAGAAGGCUCUGGAAGAAAACCGAGGCUCCAGCUCAGAGCUCUGGCUGAGCUCCCGACAGCCAGCCGGCUCUGACUGGUGACACAGAACAUUCCUUCGUCCUCCCAGCGACCCUGAGAAGACCCCAAGGCUGUCCCCUGCUAUACCGACAUCACAUCAAGGUUGGGAGAGGUGACUGUCUCUAGCAUCACCUGUUAUCUGUGAUGGAGACAAGAAAUCCCUGAGAGACUGCCCACUCCUGAGCCUGACCCCCACCUGCGGCCCCCACAGCGAAGGGCAGAGGUGGCCCGGGCAGAAACACGAAGGUCAAGAACAGGAAGAGUGGCCGUGAGAACAGCAAGGAGCUCACAGAGCAGGACGUGAGGGGGCAGGGUGGAGACCCAGGGGGCUCAACCCUCAGACCACUUAUUAGCCCAUCUUACAAGGGCACAGACUGUGCUUGGAGAGGUUGGGGUACCGCCCGGACGCACUGCCCCCGAGAUGGCCCCUUCAGCAUGAAGACCUCCGGCUCUUUCCCUGGCAAGGGUGGCCUGAGAGGCCCUGCUUGACCUUGACCCUGAGUGGAGCCAGGGUCAGCUGGGGGGUGCGGUGGGGGACAUGGCCGGGAGGGAGCAAGUACCUGUGUAUUCGUCUUCCAGUUA